rnacentral:misc_RNA from 1 species
AAGAAGAAGAAGUCGCCUACACAGGAUAUAAUUUGAAUCAGCUAAAAACCAUGUUUGCAGAGUAUUAUUAAAUCAAGAAAAAGCCAUUCCACCUAAUAAUGAAAUAUAAACAGCUUAGAAUUAAUGAAUCCAACAAUGAAUCUGACGGACAAGGCAACAUCGCAGUUCACAAAACUUGAUUCAAACUGACUGAACUAUCAUACUAGAACAAAAUCAUUGUAAUAAAACACAUUUGGACAAACAAAUUCACAAGGAACAAUAAUAAACCUAGUCAUACCAAAGUUUCUUACAAUAUAGAUCAUGAACUAUACCCAAAUGAAACCCUAUAGGUGACUACGCAGAUGGAAGUGAGGGUGACGCAGAGCAUUAAUGAAUCUGAAUUUCUA